UUCAGCCUGAUAAUAGCUACAUAGGAUAUUUGCUUUCUCCAUAGGGCUUGCUCCAGGCUAAGGGAAGGCAAGGGCUUGUGCCCGUUCUGUACAUGGCUCAUUCCCCAGGGCCUGGGAGCUGUAGCCCUUGUUUGCUGGAGCUUGUGUAUCUCUCAUUCAUAUAUAAAAUAUAUAUAAUUCAUAUAUAGAUGAGUCCAGCCUAACCUUCCCCCCCUCCUUUGGGUGGUUCCCCAGCUAAGGAGGCAGGAAUAUGGCUUCAGACCCUAUUUAAAGCAGGCCUCCUUUCCAGCUCUGCUAGCAGGGGUUGGUGGUAGUGUAAACCCGAUGCUUGGAGGUAAUCCAACAACCCCCUUCCCCUGUGCCCUACCUCUGGUGACUCCCAGUGCUGCUCUGGGCGUCCAUGCUAGUGUCCUUGCUAUGUCCCAUUCACCUCCAGUGCAAGGACUGGGGUAACACCACCGCUGUGCUCCCUGACUCGGGCUUUCCCAGGCAGCAGCAAUGUCCCAGUGAGACCUUGAAGCCUACAGCUAGAUAGCUGGGAGACCUGUGUAUCCAAACUGGGGGGGGCACAGCCUGUAGUUGCCAUGCUGAUGUGGGGUAGUGCUACGUGUUGUGCUGAAAUGCUUCAGUGACUCAUUACUGGGGAUUUUAAUGAGGGGUAACAACACCUACAGUGACUAUUGUUUGUGGUUUGGCCAAGCUGAAUGUCAGGGUAAUAGUACUUAGCCUUUAUAUAGCAUUUUGAGCUUUAAAUUACUAAUUGACCUUCUCCAUCUGUUUGAGAGGCAGGUCAUUUUAUCCCUGUGAUACCGGGCUAGCCUUACACCUAUUGUUGAGUGGUAUCGGAGCAGCUCAUGUGCAUGGGGAAGCUGGUGUCCGGCAAGCCGGGGUGGGAACUGCAGUGGCCGCACAGCCUCUGCAAGGACACUUCCCGUGUGCGGUCGGUGGCAAGUCUGCUCUCAAUAGCUUGCCACAUAGGCAAGAUCAAGGCUCAAGUGAAUCCAGCCCUGGAAAACCCCUGCAAAGUCAGGAUCUCAUUCCUAGACCACGCAGGUUGCUUGUUGACGUGGAGGAGUCGUGAUGCUAUAAGCCCAUGGGGUUUAAUGAGGGGAGUUAACGGCCUCCAAGUUGCUCUGCUAACCAGCUCCUGGUGUGCAUGGUUAGGACAACAUAGCUCACUCCAGUUGCUGAGCAGAGCCCUUGCUAUUAAAGCUUCAUUCGGUGCUUGCAGAUGCCACAGGCAGCUCUUCACCGGGAACGGGGCAGUGCACGGUGCUGGGAUCCCUGCGGUUAGAAGAAGAGGAGCACAGGGGAGCCGAGUCUCGGGGUUGCUUGAAGGAUGCCCAGCACAGAGACCGCAGGGGCUAUGACAUAGUGGUGACAUCGGGCAGAGAGGCAGAGUCCUAUCUGGUUUCAAGGACUGCACCGAGUGGUUUGCAAGAGGGGAAAUGGUGAUGACGGAAGAAGCCUCCUGCUGGGGUGCAGAAUCUGUGAUGCAUCUGUGAGGACCUUGCAGUGGGGAGAGCUCCUGCGUGGCUCAUGGGUGGGGGCUGGCAUGUGUAGGGCAGUGCCCUGCUGAAGCCGGCUGGCCCACUUGCUGCUCAGGGCCCUUCUGAGCUGGCCUCGCGGUCUCCUUUCCAGGCACUAGCACGAUGGAGCAGGCAGGGCAAGCCUGACAGCAACUGCCCAUCAUGGCACAGAGGCCAGGGGGACAUGCCCCUGUGAUGCUGCCCGGUUGGGGGUCCAGCUGGCCUGUUACCCCACGGGUCAUAAUAAGCCCUGAGCUUGGGUGGUGCUUUGCUCUUGGCAGCAUCCUGCACUGCACCUCCCUCUCCUGGCCAUGUCUACUGUGGUUUUCCUGUGCCCCGAGACACGGAUGAACAGGCUCUGAGGGCCUCUGAGCUGAUCUAGGGGGCAGGGAUGCUUUCUCCGCGUCCGAGUGCACGUGCAGGGCCUCGGGCACCGGUCUCUCUGCCCCGGUCCCAGUAGAGGGCAAUAGAGAACUUUGCAAGCCGACGGCACGCACAUCGGCAGAGAUGAGAUACCCGCAGCACCGUGAUUUGAGUCAAAGGACUUGAACCCAGGGCAUGGAGGCAAAUGCUUGCACAUCUUGUGACCGAGUGCCUGAGCUGCCCGGCAGGGUUAAGUAGCAAUAAAUGCACCUGGCACCGGAGCUGCCUCCAGGGUCAACGCUGGGGUGGUCGCUGACCCGACCGCCGGCAAGGGCACAGCUGCCCUGUUGCUGCCUGGGAGAGCUGUCUGGCUGCUCCUAGGAAGGGGCUGUGCUGUCCCCUUGGUGGCUGGGGCAAGAAGAAGGGUGCCUGGAUUUGCUCUCUGCCAGUUUUGGGAAUGCAGCCCCUUUGCAGCCAGGAUGGGGACCUGUCCAGCGGCUUAACCCCAGCCUGCGCACUGCUGCUCUGCAUAGCAGGCAGGCCGGCUUCCCCAUGCAGCAGAGAAGACCGGCAUGCGUGUCUGUCUGAGCAUCUCCUGGCUCUGCUCGGCUGGCUCUCUGCUUUGCGGCGUGGGCCCUGCUGCCACGCUUGGUGUCAGGUUCUCCUCCGCCUGCUGAGUCUGCCCUCGGGGGAGCAGGAGCUCUCAGGCAGCGAGUAGCUCCUGCUGAACAGCGCGGUUGGGCGGGGAGCCUGCUGUCAUGCUCUGGUUCCUAUUAAAGCAUGCCAGCAUGCUCAGCCAGGAGCAGGGGCUGCCUUUGCCCUGAGUUUGCUGCCCCAGCUUUGCCAAGGUGGGAGGAUUCCCUACUUGCUGCAGGUCCGAUGCAGCCAGCAGAGUCCUACCGUGGCUGGUGGAGCUUUGCCCCCUGAAGCCAGCAGUUGCUAAACCUCUCUGUGCGAGCUGGGUUGUAUGCACGGGGUGACAGCAACCCACGGGCACCCAGCAAGCUUCCAGGGGCACUGCUCUGGUUUGAAUAGAGCAGCCACUUGGGGCAAAGCAUGGUCCUGGCAAGAGGCCGGGCUGUUCUCUGGACCCUGGCAAGGAAAGGUUUAUUGCCUGCUCAGCCCCACUCCUGCCCGGGUCUGGCACAGGUCUCGGCAGUGGCUGCUUGGGGAAGGGAGACAAGGAAGCUUGGGAAGCCAGGACUCGGCUCCAAGGGCUUCGGAUUCCAGCUCUUUAGGUUGCAUCUGUGCUGCUGUGUCCCUGGAGGGAGGAGGCUUUGCUGACUGCCUCCCCAAGUCUUGCACUGAGUCACGCCCGGGUGUACAGACGCCUGGCACUGCUGCGUCUGCUUGCAGUUCCCCGAGAUGCUUUCCCAGCUCCUGGCUGCCUCGGCCUCUGUCCCCAGGGACCGAGCAGGAAGGGCGUGGGGAAGGCUGGCAGGGCACAGAUCCAUGGCUGCUUUCCUGCUCUGCUGACGGCAGCUUUGCAGGGCACUAGCACGCCUGGGUGAUGCCAACGCUGACCCCAGCCAGGCAAACCCGAAGUGAAUCCUAAUUCUGGCACCCGAAUCCUACGAUUGGAAAUGCAGAAGUGUCUUUGGGUGUCUGAGCCAUUGGGUGUUUUCAAGCUCUUUUUCUCUCCGCAGCCAGUAGAGACAGGAUUUUUCCCCUCCUCUUUCCAAUGCAGCGAUCACAGGAGUCCGGGAGCAGGGGCAGCCUCGGAGCCCUUCUGGGUUCAGCAUAGAGGAGCUGCCUCUGCCUGUCUUCUGGCCUGGGGACACAGGACAGCUCUCGUGCCUCUCCUCUGUGGGGGCUCAGGGUCUGGGGUGGAGGCGGCAGGGCCCCGCAGCUGGGGGAGGAAGGUGGGUGGCACUGGAGUUUGGGUCUGUUCGGAUCCAGGCAGAACCAGAUUUCUGUACGUGCAGAUGCACGUGGCAGCCGAGAGCCGGGGCACGGCAGGAACAGGCGGGCCCAGGGCUAACACAACUGCACCGCCGUGCUGGGUGGGAUCGGGGUUGGUGCAUUGACAGCUACCUGCUAUGACCCCGGCCUGGGUCUUCCUCCCCCUUCCAGCAGCUAAAGCAUGCCAGUAGCUUGAGUCACCUACCUGCCCAGUUUGCUGGGACUUGCAUCUCCAGCUGUUAAACCCAGCUUUACACCCGGCCCAGAUGCACACACAUCCUGCUCACGAGACCCAGGAGGGCACCAUUGCAAACUCUUUGCACGUGCAUUUGCGGCGGUUGCUGGUUCAGAUGCAACACGGUCCAUCUCUUGUUUACGGCCAGCUUUUUUUUUUGGCAUCUGGGAUAUCUGCGCACGUCCCGACGUCUGAUGAGUGUUGAUUCUCCAUUCAAUUUCCCUCGCCCAAAACCGUCCCGUUGCCUUUCCCUCCCCGCUCCUCCUCCCCUUUCACAGAUCAAAAAAGCAUUGUCAGCCGCGGCAAAAUAUUUAAGAAAUAUAUUAAUCCCGAUGCUCGCGGCACUUAAAAAAAUUGUGUUUAAACAAACUCCAAAUCGUGCAUUAAAGCAAACACAGCUGUUUAAUUACAGGCUGCAUUUCAAGCAGCCGAUAGCACGUGGGUGCUAGGGGCUGCGUAUCCACCGCGUAUUGGGCCUGGCUUUCUCCCGCCUCCUCCUUUGCUUGUUGGGUUUGAUUUUUUUUUUUUAAUUUAUUUUUUUUGUUCCCCCCUUGGUAUCCGCGAGCAAGAGGUUUUUGCUGCGGCUGUUUGGGGGAUAGGAGCAAACCGUUCCCGUCUCAUCCUCCCUUUGGCAGCCCGGCAUGCUAAAAAUGUGUUUGUGUUUCUCCCUUUGUGCUCUGCUUUAUGGGGCUUUCUCUCCUCCGCCCUGAAGGAGUGGAUGGCUUUUACAUGUGCUUUUGCCAUCUGUUUUACCCAUUGGGCCUGUAUGCAGAGAUAACCUCAUACUGGGACGGGGGAGCCUUGACACAAGCCAGCGUUGGGAAAGACUUCCUCCCGCGACUCCUUUUUCUUAGAGGAAUUAAGUGUUAAGAAAUCCUCAACUAUCUGUGCAGCUGGAGGUCUCCGAGGAGGCCCAGAUCCUCUCGGCGCUGAUAAACCCUGCUUGGCAUCUGAAGAAUGCGGCGCGGAGUUGGCCGGACAAACCGAGCGCACGCCGAGCGGGGGGCUGGGUUCGCCGUAUGCGAUGCAAGGAGUUUAUAAGAGCCAUUUGGUGAAGGCUCAAGCCAGGCUCUUGCCAGGGGGUGUAUUUUGUUGGAUCGAUACCGUGUCUGAGGCAUGCUGGCUUCCAAGGAAACAGUGAUGUUAUAUGUUAUUGCUACGCAGAUGGGGCCAAAUUCACCCCUGCUGCCUGCGCUUCCAGCCCUGGAUUACACCCUUGGAGCGGGUUUGGCCUGGGGAGAUUGAAUAGCUGGUUGCAAAAAAAAAAAAGCAUAACUUUAGGAUGAACCACGCUUUAAUUUGAAGUCCCUGCCGGGCUCCUGCAGGGAAGGCAGCCAAGGAGAGGCGCCUAGCAGGGGAUUGCCCUCUCCCAGGGUGGUUGGGACACAGAUGGCUGCUGGGGUUUCUUUCCCCCUCUUUGGGGGUACGGGGGAGCUCUGUGGUCAGGAGAAAGGAGAUCAUUGCCCCUGCCCCUCUCCGCUGGUAUGCCGGGGCCCCACACGCAGGUCUGCGGAUGCACAUCGGUCCUGCCCGGUGUCUCUCCUCCCUCUCCCAAGCAUCCCCCAUGCAGCCCUGCCAGCGCCUCUCCAGCUUGCGGUGUGGCCAAGCCUCCCUGGAGCAGACGGAGCCAAUCCCGUGGUAUUCAGCGCAGUUUUUCUCCGCGCACACAAUGGAGACUAGCGGGGGGCUCCCGCGUUCAUUCAGCAGAAGAGGCCGGUGCAAAGUCCAGCCGGCCAGGCUGGGGCAGGGGGUCAACCCUGGGCUGCCCCAAGGCAGCGGGAGGCCUUCUCCGGAGGAGCAAGGCGGGUUGGCGUUGCGUGGCGUGGUCCUGGAGGGCAGCCGCCGUGUUUGAUUUCCCCUCGGAGGCUGCACCUUCCCCUCGGCCGCUCCAGUGCCGGCGACAUGUGCCAUUUCAGGCGAAACAUUGCAGCCUUUGUCUCGCUCCAGGCACAGAGCAGGCCAUUUAGGAGGAAUUAGUGGUUACGUUGAAAGGGGAGAAUAAAGGCUUCCAGGUUAAACGCGCUUUAAGUGUCUUAAUAAUUGCA